UACGGAGGGUGCAAGCGUUAUCCGGAUUUACUGGGUUUAAAGGGUGUGUAGGCGGGUCUUUAAGUCAGGGGUGAAAUCUCCGAGCUCAACUUGGAAACUGCCAUUGAUACUAUUGAUCUUGAAUUCUGUUGAGGUUGGCGGAAUAAGUCAUGUAGCGGUGAAAUGCAUAGAUAUGACUUAGAACACCGAUUGCGAAGGCAGCUAACUAAGCAGAUAUUGACGCUGAGGCACGAAAGCGUGGGGAUCAAACAGG
rnacentral:rRNA from 1 species